rnacentral:ncRNA from 2 species
UGACUCUCUUAAGGUAGCC